AUUUUCUUUUUAAAAGAGAGAAUUCUUCUGUCAUCAGCUGUGGAGGUCUUUCUUGGCCUGCUAGUCCCUUUGCGAUUAGCAAGCUCCCCAGUGCUCUUUCUUUUUAAUGAUGCCCUAAACAGUUGAUUUUGGUAAACCUAACGUUUGGCUGAUGUCUGUUAACAGUUUUAUUCUUGUUUCUCAGUCUCAUAAUGGCUUCUUUGACUUUCGUUGGCACAACUUUGGUCCUCAUGUUGAUAAACAGCAAAAAAAGUUUCCAAAGGUGAUGGAAAGACUAGGUGCCAAGAGCUCUCUUAUAACUGCAUUAGGGAGGCAUUUAAACACACCUGAGUAAUUACAAACACCUAUGAAGCCAUGUGUCCCAAACAUUAUGGUGCCAUGAAAUG